ACUUAAAUUGAAGAGUUUGAUCAUGGCUCAGAUUGAACGCUGGCGGCAGGCCUAACACAUGCAAGUCGAGCGGUAGCACAGAGAGCUUGCUCUCGGGUGACGAGCGGCGGACGGGUGAGUAAUGUCUGGGAAACUACCUGAUGGAGGGGGAUAACUACUGGAAACGGUAGCUAAUACCGCAUAACGUCGCAAGACCAAAGUGGGGGACCUUCGGGCCUCAUGCCAUCAGAUGUGCCCAGAUGGGAUUAGCUGGUAGGUGGGGUAACGGCUCACCUAGGCGACGAUCCCUAGCUGGUCUGAGAGGAUGACCAGCCACACUGGAACUGAGACACGGUCCAGACUCCUACGGGAGGCAGCAGUGGGGAAUAUUGCACAAUGGGCGCAAGCCUGAUGCAGCCAUGCCGCGUGUGUGAAGAAGGCCUUCGGGUUGUAAAGCACUUUCAGCGGGGAGGAA
rnacentral:rRNA from 1 species